rnacentral:lncRNA from 1 species
UCAGAUGCCAGCAUGCAGAACACAGCAUGCUGGCAUCAGACAGCCAAUGGCAGCAUAUUACCCCAUCCCCUAGUGAGAAGUUUUACUGCUCCACCUCCCCCUCCUGUUUUGACUGUGGUAUCUUAUGUGCCCCCCCCAUAUAUAUUGUUCCUAGAGUCACCACGAUGUCUGCAUGUGUGUCAAUGUGUAUCUGUGUGUGACUGUGUUUGUGUGUGUAUGUCCGUG